GACGAACGCUGGCGGCGUGCUUAACACAUGCAAGUCGAACGGAAAGGCCCUGCUUUUGUGGGGUGCUCGAGUGGCGAACGGGUGAGUAACACGUGAGUAACCUGCCCUUGACUUUGGGAUAACUUCAGGAAACUGGGGCUAAUACCGGAUAGGAGCUCUCGCUGCAUGGUGGGGGUUGGAAAGUUUCGGCGGUUGGGGAUGGACUCGCGGCUUAUCAGCUUGUUGGUGGGGUAGUGGCUUACCAAGGCUUUGACGGGUAGCCGGCCUGAGAGGGUGACCGGCCACAUUGGGACUGAGAUACGGCCCAGACUCCUACGGGAGGCAGCAGUGGGGAAUAUUGCACAAUGGGCGGAAGCCUGAUGCAGCGACGCCGCGUGCGGGAUGACGGCCUUCGGGUUGUAAACCGCUUUCGCCUGUGACGAAGCGUGAGUGACGGUAAUGGGUAAAGAAGCACCGGCUAACUACGUG
rnacentral:rRNA from 1 species